GGCCUAUUGAAUAUAAUUUUAGGUCGAUCUGCCCAAUGAUUUUAAAUUUAAUGGCUGCGGUAUUUUGACUGUACAAAGGUAGCAUAAUCAAUUGUUUUUUAAUUGGAAACUGGAAUGAAAGAAUUAAUGAGAUAUAUACUGUCUCAUAUAUAAUAAAUGAAUUUAAAUUUUUAGUUAAAAUGCUUAAAUUAUUUUAUGGGACGAUAAGACCCUAUAGAAUUUUAUAUUAAUAUAAAUAGUUAUGUUUAUAAAAUUUUUGUAUUAAUAUUUAGUUGGGAGGAUUAGUAAAUUUAAAAAACUUUACUUUAAAUUUAAACUUUGAUUUAAGAAUUUUUUUGAUCUUGUAUUAUAAAAAUAAGAGUAAAUUACCUUAGGGAUAACAGCGUAAUAUCUUUUUAAAGGUCAUAUUAAUAAAGAUGAUUGCGACCUCGAUGUUGAAUUAAGAUAAAUUUUGGAUGGAGAAGUCUAAGAAUUAAGUCUGUUCGACUUUUAAAAUCUUACAUGAUUUGAGUUCA
rnacentral:rRNA from 1 species